rnacentral:rRNA from 1 species
AACGAACGCUGGCGGCAUGCCUAACACAUGCAAGUCGAACGAGACCUUCGGGUCUAGUGGCGCACGGGUGCGUAACGCGUGGGAACCUGCCCUUAGGUUCGGAAUAACUCCCCUAAAGGGGUGCUAAUACCGGAUAAUGUCUUCGGACCAAAGAUUUAUCGCCUUUGGAUGGGCCCGCGUUGGAUUAGCUAGUUGGUAGGGUAAAAGCCUACCAAGGCGACGAUCCAUAGCUGGUCUGAGAGGAUGAUCAGCCACACUGGGACUGAGACACGGCCCAGACUACUACGGGAGGGAGCAGUGGGGAAUACUGGACAAUGGGCGAAAGCCUGAUACAGCAAUGCCGGGUGAGUGAUGAAGGCCUUAGGGUUGUAAAGCUCUUUUACACGGGAUGAUAAUGACAGUACCGGGAGAAUAAGCUCCGGCUAACUCCGUG